AAUCAAGCAUUUUUCUCAUUAUCUUAGAUCAGAAGUGUCAAUUUAGUUGGACAAUCGAAUCAAAUAUCAUGUAUGAUACAACUAUGUUUUGCAGGUUCCUCUAACCAUGACAUUGUAAAGGAUAUUCUGGGUGAUGUUGGAACAUUCACAGUUGAAUGAGAGGCUUUGGGAGUGUAAUCUUCAGGAAAAUGGUGUAAAUCUCGGGCAUAUGACGACUAAAUCAGCAAAUAACAAUCAAAGCAUCAAUGACAUAAGUGAUUUAUUCAUGAUAGCAUGUUGGAUUCAUUAUUCAAAGAUGCUUUUGAAGUUGAUUUUCACAGCAUGUGUGGUUCAAGUGAAAAAGUUAAAGAAAGAAGAAAACCUAUCAAGGUUUCUUCAAAUCAACAAAACAGAUCCAAGAUACAUCAGAAUUGCUGGAAAGGGCACUACGUCUAUUGCGUUAACUUGGUUCACUUGCAUGCUUCAAACAUCCUGAGAUUCAAGAUAAACUUGCAACAGAAAUCAAAGAAACAACAAAAGUGAGAAACAAUGCCACAAAAGUUGUAGAAUUUGCAAACGCUGAGAGUCAGAGGUUCACAUCGUACAGGUUAGGCCGACCAAAAGCUCUUUCUGCUUUCCGGUGUAAUGAUGUAUCUGUUGGUUAUGAGGUGAAGAAAGGAGAUACUGUACGAUAUCAGCCAUAUGCAAGGGUUAA